GCCGAUGCAACUGAUGACAUAACUUUUUUCCCCAUCAGAUCGACCCUGUUGAUCUACAUAACCAUCAGCCAGUUUGGUCUGAUGCAUGGGC
ensembl:snoRNA SNORD12 small nucleolar SNORD12/SNORD106